UACAGAGGGUGCAAGCGUUAAUCGGAAUUACUGGGCGUAAAGCGUGCGUAGACGGUUACAUAAGUCGGGUGUGAAAGCCCCGGGCUCAACCCUGGGAAUUGCAUUCGAGACUGCGUAGCUAGGGUGCGGAAGAGGGAAGCGGAAUUUCCGGUGUAGCGGUGAAAUGCGUAGAUAUCGGAAGGAACACCGGUGGCGAAAGCGGCGCGCUGGAUCCCUACUGACGCUGAGGCACGAAAGCGUGGGGAGCAAACAGG
rnacentral:rRNA from 1 species